rnacentral:rRNA from 1 species
AUUGAACGCUGGCGGCAGGCCUAACACAUGCAAGUCGAGCGAGCGGCGGACGGGUGAGUAAUGUCUGGGAAACUGCCUGAUGGAGGGGGAUAACUACUGGAAACGGUAGCUAAUACCGCAUACCAUCAGAUGUGCCCAGGUGGGAUUAGCUAGUAGAUGGGGUAACGGCUCACCUAGGCGACGAUCCCUAGCUGGUCUGAGAGGAUGACCAGCCACACUGGAACUGAGACACGGUCCAGACUCCUGCGGGGGGCAGCAGUGGGGAAUAUUGCACAAUGGGCACAAGCCUGAUACAGCAAUGCCGCGUGUGUGAAGAAGGCCUUCGGGUUGUAAAGCACUUUCAGCGGGGAGGCGUUACCCGCAGAAGAAGCACCGGCUAACACCGUGCCAGCAGCCGCGGUAAUAC